rnacentral:rRNA from 1 species
GACGAACGCUGGCGGCGUGCUUAACACAUGCAAGUCGAACGGAAAGACCCUGCUUUUGUGGGGUGCUCGAGUGGCGAACGGGUGAGUAACACGUGAGUAACCUGCCCUUGACUUUGGGAUAACUUCAGGAAACUGGGGCUAAUACCGGAUAGGAGCUCCUGCUGCAUGGUGGGGGUUGGAAAGUUUCGGCGGUUGGGGAUGGACUCGCGGCUUAUCAGCUUGUUGGUGGGGUAGUGGCUUACCAAGGCUUUGACGGGUAGCCGGCCUGAGAGGGUGACCGGCCACAUUGGGACUGAGAUACGGCCCAGACUCCUACGGGAGGCAGCAGUGGGGAAUAUUGCACAAUGGGCGGAAGCCUGAUGCAGCAACGCCGCGUGCGGGAUGACGGCCUUCGGGUGGUAAACCGCUUUCGCCUGUGACGAAGCGUGAGUGACGGUAAUGGGUAAAGAAACACCGGCUAACUACGU